ensembl:lncRNA
AUGCUUUUAUUAGUCAAUGCAUAUUAUUCAGGGUAUCCACGUUGGCUCUCAGAUUUUAAUUUGGCUCAACCACUGAUUGUUGUCAAAUGUGAACCCUUUCCUGUGGAGAGACCACUGUUUCUCAGAACCCCUGUUUGUUUUUCUACGAAGGAGAAAGGCCUUAACAUGGCGUUGGUCUUCAGCUUGUCCACUCUCAUGUUUCUCAUCACUGGGAUGGAGACAUCCAAAAGUCUAAGUCAGGGCCCAGAGUUGAAGCUGGUCAUCCAGGAGGACUCUGGGAAGGAUGCAGUCCUACAGUGCUCUGUGAACAUCAGUGAGAAAUCCCCUGGUAAUGUAAACAUAGAGAAGGUCGUGUGGUGGAGGCUGGACCAGAAUGGUCUUCACAAAGGUGAACCUGUGUUCAUAUGCAACAUAUUCAAUCAACAAUCCUCCAAUCCCAGGUUGCAGCUGAACCCAAAAUAUCAGCUUUCCAUGCCACCUGCCAAUGAGAAAGACAAAGUUGUGUCCCUGUUGGUCAAAGAAACGCAGCCUGAAGACGAGGGUCCUUAUGAGUGUGUGGUGAACACUGACAGUGGAAUCACAAAUUGUAACUGCAUGCUGAAGCUCACAGUACGAGACCAGCACCAGGGUCCUGGAAAUGUUGCGGAUAAACAGGAGAUUCCAAAGAACAGUUACAUGAGUGUGGCUGCUGUAUGUGUGGUAGUAGGCUCUCUUGCCAUUGGACUGCUGCUUCUCAAGCUGUUUCAAGCCAGAAGACUCAGACAAGGUGAGCACCCAGGGUCAUGUCCAUUAGGGCACACUGUUGCAAAAAUGCUUCAAGAUGUUAUUCAGAUAGUUCCUCCCCAUUUCAGACUGCUUCUUUCCAGUUCAUUACCCUGCUUUUCACAGUCUCCGCAGAAAGACUGUGUCUGGGAAGAUUAGUUAAGUACUUCCUGUCCUAGCUAAAUGCCAUGAUAUUUUUUUCUUUUAUUUGACCUUUAUUUAACCAGGCAAGUCAGUUAAGAACAAAUUCUAAUUUUCAAUGACGGCCUAGGAACAGUGGGUUAACUGCCUGUUCAGGGACAGAACGACAGAUUUGUACCUUGUCAGCUUGGGGAUUCAAUCUAGCAACCUUUCAGUUAUUAGUCCAACACUCUAACCACUAGGCUACCGCCCCCAAUAGAAUAAGUGGAAUGGAGAACUAACUGCUCAGACAAGAGGACUGAACUUAGUUUUUUCAUUGUUUUAGUUUCUCUAUUGCUGUCCUCCUUCCCAGAUAGGAAUUCAGGAUUUGUUAUUGUAUUGUCAGUGAGUGAUAAAUCACAAACCAUGGUAGAGCACACAGUAUCAACCCUUGUAAAAGGUUGCUUCUGGUUUCUCUUUCCAUAUGAACCCUUGAUACAAGAGGACUCUGUUGUGGCAGAAGGUAUGUUUGAGUAUGUUAUUUGUCUACCUAAUGGAAGAGGAUUCCUGUCCAAACUAUCAAAGUAUAUCAAAUGUCUGUAAAAUGCACUUUAUAAAAUGUCUCACCAACCACCAGGAGGCCCAGCACAAGAACCAGGUAGCCUAGUGGUUAGAGCGUUGGACUAGUAACUGGAAGUUUGCAAGUUCAAAACCCCCGAGCUGACAAGGUACAAAUCUGUCGUUCUGCCCCUGAACAGGCAGUUAACCCACUGUUCCUAGGCCGUCAUUGAAAAUAAGAAUUUGUUGACUUGCCUAGUUAAAUAAAGGUCAAAAAUUACAUAUAUAUAUAUAUAUAUUUUUUUAAUUCCGGGCAUUCCCGUGGUUGGCAGGCUGCAUCACAUCCAGCUGUGAUUGGUAGUCCCAUAGGGCGGCGCACAAUUGGCCCAGCGUCGUCCGGGGUAGGCCGUCAUUGUAAAUACGAAUUUGUUCUUAACUGACUUGCCUAGUUAAAUUGAAAAAAAUAAGUGUUCCUAUUGUCCCCUAUGGAACCAGAGCCUCAGGAUACAGCAGUCCCAGCAGAGCACAACCCCAGAACCAGGACCGUUUCCGUAGCGACAGAUGUAUUAUCAGGGGUGCCAUUGGCUCUCUUCUCUGUCAGUGUCAUGUCUGCUCUGUCUCUCACGGCACAUCGCUAACUGAAUGUGAAUGCUUUGCCUGGAGGAGGGAGCAAUCUGGCUUAACACUAUUCUGUUCCCCCUCUGCAGGAGAAAUGGAGUGCACGCAUUGUCCUGCUAUCAAGCUAAUUGUUAGCAGCAUUGUCUGUAGUUGUUAAUCACACCAGACUAUUCUUUCAUAAUUGUUUUAUAUAUUGUAACUAAAACCUGAUAUGAAACAAAUGCACAUAUUUAGUGGACAUUGAUUUGAUAGUGAAGACACUAGUGUGAUACAGUAGCAGUGUGUGAAAUUGAUCUUGACAGAACACAUUUACUUUGUGCAUCACAAUUUGAAUAAGUAAUUUAUUCAGAAGCCAAUAUUGUGUUUUAGUUAAUUUGAGAGUUGCUUUAGUUGACAAAUGCCAUGUUUUUUAUUGUUACAAAGUGGGAUUCAAAUGUAUUUAAUUGUCAUUUUUUUGUAAACAAUCUACAUAAAAUACUGUCAAAGUGUAAGAAGAAAUAACCCGAACAGCUGUGUUAUGUUUUAUGCUGUUGGUUGUGUUGUACUUACCAGUACGCAGUGUUCGCGGGGUCCGACAUGCCAGUCAAUCUGCUAUCUGCCAACCACGGGAAUGCCUGGAAUGUUCUUGUGCCGGGCAUCCUGGUGGCUGGUGGAGCAUCGCAGGUUUACUUCUGGUCUUUACAAGACAUAUCUAUGCUUAUUUAUUUUAUCUUGUGUCCUUUACCAUUUGUACAUUGUUAAAACACUGUAUAUAUAUAAUAUGACAUUUGUAAUGUAUUUAUUGUUUUGAAACUUCUAUGUGUGAUGUUUACUGUUAAUUUUUAUUGUUUAUUUCACUUUAUAUAUUCACUUUAUAUAUUGUCCACCUCACUUGCUUUGGCAAUGUUAACACAUGUUUCCCAUGCCAAUAAAGCCCUUGAAUUGAAUUGGUCACGGUUGUUUGUAUGGAUAUCCUUCAUUUAUUUGGCGUGGGCUAUGGCCGAACAGUAGCCUGUGUGGAGUUGGGUUAAUAAACCGUGAAUUCGUC